rnacentral:lncRNA from 1 species
GUUUGCAUAAAAAUGUACAGCAUAUGGAAAAAUCAGGAAAAAAUGUGUGUUCUAUUUAUCUUCAAGAUAUCUCCCCAAGUUUCCUCCUGGAGGUGCAAUUGUUUGUAAGAGCUUUUUCAUGUGAACACAGUAGUUUCUCUAUUUUAUUUAUUGUUCGCACCUUUAUGGAAAGUGAAAGGCCAAGAGACUUUUUCCUUGUUCAUGCUGAAAAAAAUGAACCGAGAAGGAAGAUGGAUUUUUAUGAGUUGGCUUGAAUCUAGAGUGGCGAACGGGACAUAUGAGACCAGAGAGUGCCAGGACUGAGUGCAGCAACUUGAAAAGAGAAAAAAACCAUACACACAUAAAACAGGAGGUGCCGCUACCCGGUGCCAGGAUGUCAUUUUUACAAAGUGAAUGUUCAGCUCGGUGAACA